GAGGGUAGAGCUCAAGUGGUAGAGCACGUGCUUAGCACGCACAAGGUCCUGGGUUCAAUCCCCAGGACUUCU
rnacentral:tRNA from 1 species